GCCUGGGUGGCUCAGUCAGUUGCGCGUCUGACUUCAGCUCAGGUCAUGAUCUCACGGUUCGUGGGUUCGAGCCCCGCGUCGGGCU
rfam:Felis catus isolate Cinnamon breed Abyssinian chromosome D2, whole genome shotgun sequence.